ACUCCUACGGGAGGCAGCAGUGGGGAAUAUUGCACAAUGGGCGCAAGCCUGAUGCAGCAACGCCGCGUGAGGGACGACGGCCUUCGGGUUGUAAACCUCUUUUAGUAGGAAGAAGCGAAAGUGACGGUACCUGCAGAAAAAGCACCGGCUAACUACGUGCCAGCAGCCGCGGUAAUACGUAGGGUGCAAGCGUUAUCCGGAAUUAUUGGGCGUAAAGAGCUCGUAGGCGGUUUGUCGCGUCUGCUGUGAAAACUGGAGGCUCAACCUCCAGCCUGCAGUGGGUACGGGCAGACUAGAGUGCGGUAGGGGAGAUUGGAAUUCCUGGUGUAGCGGCGGAAUGCGCAGAUAUCAGGAGGAACACCGAUGGCGAAGGCAGAUCUCUGGGCCGUAACUGACGCUGAGGAGCGAAAGCAUGGGGAGCGAACAGGAUUAGAUACCCUGGUAGUCCAUGCCGUAAACGUUGGGAACUAGAUGUAGGGACCAUUCCACGGUUUCUGUGUCGCAGCUAACGCAUUAAGUUCCCCGCCUGGGGAGUACGGCCGCAAGGCUAAAACUCAAAGGAAUUGACGGGGGCCCGCACAAGCGGCGGAGCAUGCGGAUUAAUUCGAUGCAACGCGAAGAACCUUACCAAGGCUUGACAUAUACGAGAACGGGCUAGAAAUAGUCAACUCUUUGGACUCGUAAACAGGUGGUGCAUGGUUGUCGUCAGCUCGUGUCGUGAGAUGUUGGGUUAAGUCCCGCAACGAGCGCAACCCUCGUUCUAUGUUGCCAGCACGUAAUGGUGGGAACUCAUAGGAGACUGCCGGGGUCAACUCGGA
rnacentral:rRNA from 1 species